AGUGGCAUCUGACUCUUUGCAACCCCAUGAACUGGGACCCACCAGGCUCCUCUGUUCAUGGGAUAUUUUAGGCAAGGUUACUGGAGUGGGUCACCAUUUCCUCCUCAGGGGAUCUUCCCGACCCAGGGAUCGAACCCACAUCUCCGGCAUUGCAGGCGGUGUCUUUAGUUGCUGAGCCAUCUGGGAACUACUGGGUGUCGAGGAUCUACCAAACCCCGCCAGUCUCCGAGGAGCCUCAUGCACUCUCUGGAUGCAGGGAUAUGAAGGUGACGAAACCCAGCAGAGGAUGUAGCAGACAGCCUUGGAAACCAGAAAUCAUAACCCAAGGUUGGGAGUCCCUCCCCAUCUAGGCUGCUGGAUUAUGCAUUUGUAUGUUUGGUUGAGCAAGUCAAGAAGAAAAUUCUCCAGGGACAAUAUCUGGAUCACGAGGGCAUUUUCCUCUACUCCAGUACUGGGGAUAGCAAAGUAUUUGUUCCAAACUGCUGUUAUGUUCUAGGCAUUGUGUUCUGCAUUCAACAGGUAUUGUCUGAUUUAUUCCUCAGCGUGACUGUAUAGGGACUUUAUUGUGUCCAUUUUAUAGAAGACAAAGUAAAGGCUCAGAGAACCUGAAUAAUUCAUGCACAAGUCAUAUCAGAGGCGGAGCUGUGACUCUGUCACAGAAAGCAGGCAUGAUUAACUUGGUCAGUGUCACUUAUGGAGAUGUGAGCAAGGUGAAUGAACAUUCCUUAGACAUGAUGAUUUUCGCCUUUUUAAAAACAUUCCUGGUGGAGCAGUAGAUAAAAAUCUGCUGGCCAAUGCAAGGAACAUGGGUUCAAUCCCUGGUCCUGUAAGAUUCUACAUGCUACAGGACAACUAAGCCCACGUGCCACGACUACUGAGCUUGCUCCCUAGAGCCCGGGGACCAACCGCUGAGUCCACACCACAGCUCCUGAAGCCUGCGUGCUCUAGGGCCCGAGAGCCACAGUCUCAUGCCCUGUGCUGCAGCUACUGAAAUCUGCGCGCCUAGAGACCACGCUCUGCAACUAGAGGACCCAUCACAACGAGAAGCCUGUGCACUCAACUAGCGAGCAGUUCCCACUCUCCACAGCCAGAGCAAGGCUGCACGCAGCAGCAAAGACCCCGAGCAGCCAAAAAUAAAUAAAUAAAAAUAAACA
ensembl:lncRNA